rnacentral:rRNA from 1 species
UUGGGUUAAGUCCCGCAACGAGCGCAACCCUUGUCUUUAAUUGCCAUCAUUCAGUUGGGCGACUUUAAGAGACUGCCGGUGUUAAACCGGGAGGAAGUGGGGAUGACGUCAAGUCCUCAUGGCCUUUAUGCCCAGGGCUACACACGUGCUACAAUGGGUGGUACAAAGAGAUGCAAUCUCGCAAGAGCAAGCAAAACCUCAAAAAAGCCAUCCUCAGUUCGGAUUGGAGUCUGCAACUCGACUCCAUGAAGUCGGAAUCGCUAGUAAUCGCGGAUCAGCACGCCGCGGUGAAUACGUUCCCGGGCCUU